AUUGAACGCUGGCGGCAGGCCUAACACAUGCAAGUCGAACGAGUGGCGGACGGGUGAGUAAUGUCUGAGAAACUGCCUGAUGGAGGGGGAUAACUACUGGAAACGGUAGCUAAUACCGCAUACCAUCGGAUGUGCCCAGAUGGGAUUAGCUAGUAGGUGGGGUAAAGGCUCACCUAGGCGACGAUCCCUAGCUGGGCUGAGAGGAUGACCAGGCACACUGGAACUGAGACACGGUCCAGACUCCUACGGGAGGCAGCAGUGGGGAAUAUUGGACAAUGGGCGCAAGCCUGAUGCAGCCACGCCGCGUGUAUGAAGAAGGCCUUCGGGUUGUAAAGUACUGUCAGCGGGGAGGCGUUACCCACAGAAGAAGCACCGGCUAACUCCGUGCCAGCAGCCGCGGUAAUAC
rnacentral:rRNA from 1 species